rnacentral:rRNA from 1 species
AUUGAACGCUGGCGGCAUGCCUUACACAUGCAAGUCGAACGGUAACAGGUCUUCGGAUGCUGACGAGUGGCGAACGGGUGAGUAAUAUAUCGGAACGUGCCCAGUCGUGGGGGAUAACGCAGCGAAAGCUGUGCUAAUACCGCAUACGAUCUAUGGAUGAAAGCGGGGGAUCGCAAGACCUCGCGCGAUUGGAGCGGCCGAUAUCAGAUUAGGUAGUUGGUGGGGUAAAGGCCCACCAAGCCAACGAUCUGUAGCUGGUCUGAGAGGACGACCAGCCACACUGGAACUGAGACACGGUCCAGACUCCUACGGGAGGCAGCAGUGGGGAAUUUUGGACAAUGGGCGCAAGCCUGAUCCAGCAAUGCCGCGUGCAGGAUGAAGGCCUUCGGGUUGUAAACCUCUGUCAUGGGGGAAGAAGUAAGUGACGGUACCCCAAGAGGAAGCCCCUGCUAACUACGUG